rnacentral:rRNA from 1 species
CCUACGGGCGGCUGCAGUGGGGAAUAUUGCACAAUGGGUGCAAGCCUGAUGCAGCCAUGCCGCGUGUGUGAAGAAGGCCUUCGGGUUGUAAAGCACUUUCAGCGGGGAGGAAGGCGUUAAGGUUAAUAACCUUGGCGAUUGACGUUACCCGCGGAAGAAGCACCGGCUAACUCCGUGCCAGCAGCCGCGGUAAUACGGAGGGUGCAAGCGUUAAUCGGAAUUACUGGGCGUAAAGCGCACGCAGGCGGUCUGUCAAGUCGGAUGUGAAAUCCCCGGGCUCAACCUGGGAACUGCAUUCGAAACUGGCAGGCUAGAGUCUUGUAGAGGGGGGUAGAAUUCCAGGUGUAGCGGUGAAAUGCGUAGAGAUCUGGAGGAAUACCGGUGGCGAAGGCGGCCCCCUGGACAAAGACUGACGCUCAGGUGCGAAAGCGUGGGGAGCAAACAGGAUUAGAUACCCCAGUAGUC